GUUCCUUUUCUGUUCCCUCUCUCCAGCUUCUAGUGUCUUCGCCCUCCGCUCUUACCACGUUGGCUGGGAUUAGUUCUCUAAAUUGAGAUGGCCAUAGUUCUGUCCUCGCCCAGCUAUGCAUUUCCAUGCCUUGUUUCAGUAUCAGCUUCAAACAACCAUACAGAG